AUGUAUAUCCAAUAUACUUCUAUCGACCUUGCCAGCCUUCUCAUCUACCAAGUAUCUAGGGUAAUUCUGCUCCAGUGGUUGUUCCCCUUAUUACAGAAGCACUUAGUCUCGGGUUUGGGUUCAACUUUGGGUUUCUUCACUAGAGCAGCAGCUGAUUUGCCGUUUCAUGAAGUAUCCCUUCUUGCCCUUGCCCUUCUUGCCCUUGCCCUUCUUGAAACUAGUGGUUUCACCAACCAUCAACAAUUGAUGCUCCUUCUUGAUUUCUACUUUCGCGGUGUCAAACAUCGCGAAUAUCUCAAGGAUCAUCAUAUCUAUCCCUGA
rnacentral:rRNA from 1 species